UCUAGUUUAACAUGAGAAUGAAUUUGAGCCAGGACAACUGAUAAGCCAAGGAGGUACGGUCAAUGUUCUCCAUCCACCGAGCCUGCAUUUUUUCACUACGAAUGUCAGUCUAUAGUAGCAAAAUCAGCUUGCUCUGUUUUGGCCAGUGAAAAAACUUCAGCUUCCCUACAUGUAAGAUGUCCAUGGGAUCAAGGAGCAUACCAGGACCUUAACUAAGGAUUUCAGCUAAGAAAACAGCGAGGAGCAAUGAAUGGUACACCAGAGAGUAUCAGAAACUCAAGCAAAACAGACUAUGGGAGCACCUAGGCUAGCAUCAUACAACAGUGCCAAAAGGAGUGGUAUCCAAGAGAAAAGGACCCCAGCGCCAAAGACAUGAGGAGCCCUGCGUCACUGAGCUGCCUUUCCCCAAGCUUUUUCUUGGACAUACUUCUGAUGUGGGAGAAACACACCCAGGUUUAUAGCAGGAUCUCGACCCAAGAAUGGGAGUCUCAGAUUCCACUCCAUGCGGAGGCAUCAAAGUCCUGUGGCAGGACGAAAGUCGGGAAGACGGGCGAUGGCCCAGGAGGCAGUGGAUGACCUUGGCCUCCGCACUACCUGACCAAGCUUCAAGUGCUCCAUGGUGCCUGCUUCAGCCACCUUCAUGGCUCUGCGGACAAAUCGUUCUCUUCCGCCCAUUCCCGUCUCUAAGACAAACCACUGACCAUGCACACAACCCCAGCACACAAGUUCAGGGAACUGAAUGUGGAAAUGAGCCAGGGAAGCCUGCGCUCACUUUAACAGGCGUUCUAGGUCUGCGGCCAGAGGCUGGGCAGUUAGCCUUUCUGUUAAGGAAGCCCUCUGUGACCGCACUCUGCAAACAGACUACUGGUCGCCAUUGAUAUCACCCAGCGACAGCCAUCAAGUGUGAGAUCUGCACAGAAAAUGAAGGCCUGGGGUGGAAUUCUCCUGAAGUCGCCUCCAUCCGCAGCGACCUUCCCAGUGAAAGCCAAUGAUUGCAGACCACGAGAGUACCAGGUGCUUCCUUACUAAGAGACCUCUGUAAGUGAGCAGAGCCAGGGAAGCAGAGUGGUGGAAGUAGAAGGAAUGGGGGCCUUGGAAUCAAGGUCCUUGGGGUCCCGGCCCACCACUUACUGGCUAGGCAGU